rnacentral:tRNA from 1 species
AUAAAUAUAGUUUAUUUAAAACAAUGGAUUGUGGUUCCAUAAAACUUAUUAUU